rnacentral:lncRNA from 1 species
AAGUCAAGAUUGAUUCUAAUGCAAUUUGAUGCAACAAUAUUCUGGUUCAGUGACGGUGGGGCUCGAGAAUAUUUGAUCUGAUUCAAGUGUGAUUAGACGAGAUAGGAAACCUUUCCUAGUAGGUCUUCUUGCCGUAAGACUACACAGUGAUACUGAUAAGCAAUAAAGCAACCUGGCCUAUUAGCUCGGUCAGUGAGAGCAUUAUACUAAUAAGACGAAGGUCUCAUGUUCAAGAUAUACACGCACAAAAAAAAAAAAAAAAGAAGAAAAAAAAAAGAAAAAAAGAAA